rnacentral:rRNA from 1 species
GGGAAUAUUGCACAAUGGGCGCAAGCCUGAUGCAGCGACGCCGCGUGGGGGAUGACGGCCUUCGGGUUGUAAACUCCUUUCGCUAGGGACGAAGCGUAUUUGUGACGGUACCUGGAGAAGAAGCACCGGCUAACUACGUGCCAGCAGCCGCGGUAAUACGUAGGGUGCGAGCGUUGUCCGGAAUUACUGGGCGUAAAGAGCUCGUAGGUGGUUUGUCGCGUCGUUUGUGUAAGCCCGCAGCUUAACUGCGGGACUGCAGGCGAUACGGGCAUAACUUGAGUGCUGUAGGGGAGACUGGAAUUCCUGGUGUAGCGGUGGAAUGCGCAGAUAUCAGGAGGAACACCGAUGGCGAAGGCAGGUCUCUGGGCAGUAACUGACGCUGAGGAGCGAAAGCAUGGGUAGCGAAC